rnacentral:rRNA from 1 species
GAUGAACGCUGGCGGCGUGCCUAAUACAUGCAAGUCGAGCGAACGGAUGGGAAGCUGGCGUCUCUGAGGUUGGCGGCGGACGGGUGAGGAACAUGUGGAUAACCUACCUGUAAGACUGGGAUAACUUCGGGAAACGGGGGCUAAGGCCGGAUAAUAUAUUGAACCGCGUGGUGCAAAAGUGGGAGACGGUCUUGCUGUCACUUAUAGAUGGAUCCGCGCUGGAUCCGCUAGUGGGCAAGGUGGCGGCUUAGCAAGGCAACGAUGCAUAGCCGACCCGAGAGGGUGAUCCGCUACACUGUCACUGAGACUCAGCACCGACUCCUGCAGGAGGCCGCAGCAGGGACUCCUACGCAAUGCGCGAGAGCCUAACGGAGCACAGCCGCGUGAGUCAUGAUCGUCCUCUGAUCGUAGAACUCUGUAAUUCGGGAAGUACAUAUGUGUAAGUACCCGUGCACAUCUUGACGGUACCUAAUCAGAAAGCCCCGGCUAACUCCGUG